GGGGGCACCCAAAAUGAAGGAUUCGGGUGGGGCACUCCAAAUGAAGGUUUGGAGGGAGAGGGGGAGCACCCCAAAUGAAGGAUUAGAGGGAUGGGGCACCCCAAAUGAAGGAUUAGGGAUGGGGCACCCCAAAUGAAGGAUUAAAGGGUGUGGCACCCCAAAUGAAGGAUUAGAGGGAUAGGGCACCCCAAAUGAAGGAUUAGGGACGGGGCACCCCAAAUGAAGGAUUAGGGAUGGGGAACCCCAAAUGAAGGAUUAGGGAUGGGGCACCCCAAAUGAAGGAUUGGAAAGGUGGGGCACCCCAAAUGAAGGAUUAGAGGGAUGGGGCACCCCAAAUGAAGGAUUAGAAGGAUGGGGAACCCCAAAUGAAGGAUUAGAGGGAGAGGGGGGGCACCCCAAAUGAAGGAUUAGAGGGAUGGGGCACCCCAAAUGAAGGAUUAGGGAUGGUGCACCCCAAAUGAAGGAUUAGGGAUGGGGCACCCCAAAUGAAGGAUUAGCAGGGGGCACCCCAAACGAAGGAUUAGAAAUAUACAUCUGUAUUUGAUUUCUACUUGGUUUUGAACACCUGAAAUGCUAAAACACAACACUGUUUCUCUGCGUGUGCAGAGGGUAUUUGUUUUCUUCAGACAGAAUUAGCUGUCAAUAAAAUCAAUACAAUUUGACGGAUCGUUAUAUUGAAGCAGAUUCAAUACACAUCCUCAAUCAUCAGUCAAAUGGAACAUGUGUGUGACAUUCUGUUUGGCUGGCUCAAUACCCAAAGUCUAGCCCCUGUUGAACUUGAUCUAAAGCCUCUAAGGCUGGGGUUAACAGUUAGUUUAGCAUGUAUAGCUUACUUGCAGCAUCCUCACAUUACAAAUAUUACUGUAGCCUUUUCUCCUCAAAUGUCAGAUACAUACCAUUGAGCAUACAUGUAUUUGUGUCAUGUACAUAAUACCUUUUGAAGUCAGUUUUUUGGGGUUUGCUAUCACGUGUUGACGUUUUAUUUAGUCUGCUUUCUUCUUCUGGUGAUUUUCUUUUAAUUUGAUACUUGUAUCGGACAGAUUUUCUGUUUUGUAAAAAAAAACGUAGAUAUGUAAUAUGGGACGUUGCAUGUAUUUUGUGUACAAAGUUUUCUGGUGUCUGUAGUGACUGUGAAAAAUGACAACCACUCACUUGUAUUGCCCUGUGAAUAUUUUGCUAAGUUAUUUCUAACCUCGGCAUUGAUGUACGUUGCUGUAAUUUUUCAGCUUUAAACGUUGACACCAAUCAUGAAUUAAAACCAUUCUGGAAACUGA